rnacentral:lncRNA from 1 species
UGUUGGAUCUUCAUCUACUCUGCUUCGACCAUAAUCCCGAAGACCAAUGGGGCGGAAUACCCUUCUCAGUCAAUCAAUCAGGAAAAUGGUUGUUGGGUCUUCAUCUACUCUGCUUCGACCAUAAUCCCGAAGACCAAUAGGGCAGAAUACCCUUCUCAGUCAAUCAAUCAGGAAAAUGGCUGUUGGGUCUUCAUCUACUCUGCUUCGACCAUAAUCCCGAAGACCAAUAGGGCAGAAUACCCUUCUCAGUCAAUCAAUCAGGAAAAUGGCUGUUGGGUCUGCUCCGAUCCC